rnacentral:rRNA from 1 species
AUCGGGGACCGUGCAUGGUAGGCAGUUUGACUGGGGCGGUCUCCUCCCAAAGAGUAACGGAGGAGUUCGAAGGUUACCUAGGUCCGGUCGGAAAUCGGACUGAUAGUGCAAUGGCAAAAGGUAGCUUAACUGCGAGACCGACAAGUCGAGCAGGUGCGAAAGCAGGACAUAGUGAUCCGGUGGUUCUGAAUGGAAGGGCCAUCGCUCAACGGAUAAAAGGUACUCCGGGGAUAACAGGCUGAUUCCGCCCAAGAGUUCAUAUCGACGGCGGAGUUUGGCACCUCGAUGUCGGCUCAUCACAUCCUGGGGCUGUAGUCGGUCCCAAGGGUAUGGCUGUUCGCCAUUUAAAGUGGUACGUGAGCUGGGUUUAAAACGUCGUGAGACAGUUUGGUCCCUAUCUGCAGUGGGCGUUGGAAGUUUGACGGGGGCUGCUCCUAGUACGAGAGGACCGGAGUGGACGAACCUCUGGUGUACCGGUUGUGACGCCAGUCGCAUCGCCGGGUAGCUAAGUUCGGAAGAGAUAAGCGCUGAAAGCAUCUAAGCGCGAAACUCGCCUGAAGAUGAGACUUCCCUGAGGAUUUAAUCCUCCUAAAGAGUCGUUCGAGACCAGGACGUGAUAGGUGGGGUGUGGAAGUGCGGUAACGCAUGAAGC